CCAGCUUAACUGCAGACCAAAAACGGAAACGAAAUUGCUGUCUAACAAUCUAACAAACAUCCUGUUACGUGGUCAAAGAAGUCAACUAUUUAUAUUCCAGUCCAGUAAAUGGAUUUAUGUAAUUUUCCUGGAUUAUGUUAUUUAAGGGGUUGUAACCAGGCUCGACCAUGGGGGAGAAGGGUUGCUGGUGAUUCCCUCCGGUCCCGGAGUUCUCGAAGGGACACGUAUUUUUAAAAAAAUUGAGUGAAUAGUAAAAAGUCAGAAUGCUAUUGAUAGAUUGUCACGAAAAACCCGGCUAAGCUUUGUCGCUUUAAUUUGCAAAACAUUGGAAUGUUACAACAUAACCUGUGGAAGAUUGGGGUGGACAUAGCUACGAUAAUUGUAGUAACAUGAACGCUAAAUUUGAAGGAGCGCAAAAUCACAUCCAACGUAAAAGUAAAUAUGCAGUUCUUUCGCAAUGUGGUGCCUACACGCUGAAUUUGCCUGGAGUCGACCCGGCUAAAUGCAGUCUUCGAGCAAUAACUUUUUUUGAUGUCGUUUUAACAUGUUUCAAUAUUUUCAAUAGCAGCACACAACGUUGGGAAAUUUGGAAAUCCAAAAUACGCAAUUCAUUUCACUGACUUUCUAAUGUAAGAUGGUCUGCUAGAAUCUAUGCCGUCAAGCCAUUUGCGAAAUAUCUUCCCGGUUUGAUAAACGCUUUCAAAGAAGUUAAAAAAUUAAACCUUACGGCAGAAAUUCGUCGCGAGUUUGAUGGAAUUUUGAAAUAUAUGAGCAUUCUUUAGUGCGCUUUGAUCGCCUGCAUAUAAUAUAAUCCUUCAGUCAAUCAAUGAAAGAAAUCUGGUUCUUCAAGAGAUCACUGCCAUCAUCGACGUUGAAGUUAGAAAUAUAGAAAGCCUUCUUUUGAUUUUGCGUUGAGGAUUUUAACAUAAAAAAACACGGAAACGAUCUACAGGAAGAAGUGGUUGGAAAUUGUAGAAGAAAUUGAAUUCAAAGGAAGUCGUUCUCAUUUGUAUGACUUGUAUUGAUAUGAAAGAAGAUGAACUCAACGCCGUUGCAAACAAUUUUGCAAAAGAGUAUUCCGUUGAUAGCUUUGAGAAUAUUUUGCACUUUAUCCGUUUCAAAUUUUCAUCGAUCGUGAUCGUCACAGGGCAGGAUUUCAGGACUAGCUACAUUGUACCUAGAGAAGGCUAUAAUCGACGCAUUCGCUGCCGCCAAAGUUCGAAAAGCUCACUUCGAGAAGCAUGGAGAAGAUUGGAGAUUUUAAAUUGCAUGUUCAAAAACUUAAUCACGAUAGCCAACAAAUUUCAAGAGAACCGUUUCUUCACUAAUUAGAUCGAUAAAUAAAUGUUUGAAUGAGAUGUUUAUGUCUUCUUAUUAACUGUCAAGUUUUGCUAUCCCUAUAUUCAUAAAUAUAAUAUAUGCCGGUAUAAUCUGAAAAAAUAUUUUUGAUUGAAAGUCUAUUUAUGUACUGAUUUAUACAUUAUUUAUUUUCAAAAUCGUGCAAAACAAAUUUGUUAUACACAACGUCAACAAGAAAUCAAAUUUAAUACAGUUGUGAUGAGAGGAUGAAACACUACGUCAAAUUUGACUUAUUCUUAAAAAACAGCGAAGUAACGGAAGCCCCCACCUUUCUUCCCCUGGCCUGGUUUUUCUCGCGGUGGCCUUGGUUAUAACCACUUGUGAAUUUCAAGAAAUCGAUUUUUGAUUUUGAAAAUAUGCUAUGACAAUUUUAAGGUAUACCGGCAAAAAAUAACGGAGAGAGGAGCGUAAUUGUAAUAAUUUUUUAACUUAGUGUAGUUAGCUGCUAAAACUUUAAGUGCGUUUUUCUCGAAACUCCGUUUUCAGAGUAAAUUGAAAAAAUUCCUCCGCAACGGCUGGACCUAUCCACUUAAAAUUUUCACACGAUGUUAUUAGUUGUAUUUGUCAGAUAAUGACUGAAUUCAUAAUAUUUUUGAUAACUAUUUUUAUUCCGAAGUGUAUAUUCUGUAAUUGUACUUUUAUUUAUUUAUUUAGUUAUUUAAAAAUAAAUCAAAAACAAAGUAAUUUUUUCCAGUCUUUGACCCGAAGCGUUGUUUUUCGGUUGCAUCGAAAACUCAUAAUCAGGGUAUUUUUAUUUCUAGGAAUUGAAAUUUGACAUUAUUUUUGUCACCGCUCAAAUAUUUUGAACAGCUUCUAUAUAAUAAAAUGAAAGUGCUGAUAAACUUGAUUUCUGUGUGACAAUUUACCUCCACUGAAAAUUAUUCUUAAUCUUUAAAACUCGCCUUCUGACUUCGUUAUGGUUCGUAAUAACUACCGUGGGAAGGCUCUUUCGUGUUCUCUGCUCCAAGAAUAAAACAUUUUUAAUACAGUCAUUGGAUGCACUGUGCCGCGCUUGUGAUCAGCUAAAAGCCUUUUGAGAUAUAAAGCUGCCGUAAUGACUUUUAACUUAUACCAUAUAUCUUUAUAAUUGAAGAGCUUUUUCUAUUUUUUUUUGCCGUUGUUGUUUUCUUCUGUAGAAACAUCCGUUUUGUUGUCUAAUAGCCAUUUCUAGGAUAUUUAGAUAUGAUUCUCAC